CCUACGGGAGGCAGCAGUGGGGAAUAUUGGGCAAUGGAGGCAACUCUGACCCAGCAACGCCGCGUGAAUGAUGAAGGUCUUCGGAUUGUAAAGUUCUGUGAUGGGGGAUGAACACAAUGACGGUACCCCAAUAGCAAGCCACGGCUAACUACGUGCCAGCAGCCGCGGGAAUACGUAGGUGGCAAGCGUUAUCCGGAAUGACUGGGCGUAAAGGGUGCGUAGGGGGGUUAGUAAGUUGGCGGUGUAAUUCCGGGGCUCAACCUCGGCGCUACAGCCAAAACUAUUAGACUAGAGUGCAGGAGGGGUAGGUGGAAUUCCUAGUGUAGCGGUGGAAUGCGUAGAUAUUAGGAGGAACAUCAGGGGCGAAGGCGACUUACUGGACGGUAACUGACGCUGAGGCACGAAAGCGUGGGGAGCAAACAGGAUUAGAUACCCGAGUAGUC
rnacentral:rRNA from 1 species